rnacentral:rRNA from 1 species
GUAGGUGGCAAGCGUUGUCCGGAAUUAUUGGGCGUAAAGCGCGCGCAGGCGGUUCUUUAAGUCUGAUGUGAAAGCCCACGGCUCAACCGUGGAGGGUCAUUGGAAACUGGAGAACUUGAGUACAGAAGAGGAAAGCGGAAUUCCACGUGUAGCGGUGAAAUGCGUAGAGAUGUGGAGGAACACCAGUGGCGAAGGCGGCUUUCUGGUCUGUAACUGACGCUGAGGCGCGAAAGCGUGGGGAGCAAACAGGGAUUAGAUACCCUGGUAGUCCACGCCGUAAACGAUGAGUGCUAAGUGUUAGGGGGGUUUCCGCCCCCUUAGUGCUGCAGCUAACGCAUUAAGCACUCCGCCUGGGGAUACGACCGCAAGGUUG